AGUGAACGCUGGCGGUAGGCCUAACACAUGCAAGUCGAACGGCAGCACAGGAGAGCUUGCUCUCUGGGUGGCGAGUGGCGGACGGGUGAGGAAUACAUCGGAAUCUACUUUUUCGUGGGGGAUAACGUAGGGAGACUUACGCUAAUACCGCAUACGACCUACGGGUGAAAGCAGGGGAUCUUCGGACCUUGCGCGAUUGAAUGAGCCGAUGUCGGAUUAGCUAGUUGGCGGGGUAAAGGCCAACCAAGGCGACGAUCCGUAGCUGGUCUGGGAGGAGGAUCAGCACAACUGGAACUGAGACACGGUCCAGACUCCUACGGGAGGCAGCAGUGGGGAAUAUCGGACAAUGGGCGCAAGCCUGAUCCAGCCAUACCGCGUGGGUGAAGAAGGCCUUCGGGUUGUAAAGCCCUUUUGUUGGGAAAGAAAUCCAGCUGGUUAAUACCCGGUUGGGAUGACGGUACCCAAAGAAUAAGCACCGGCUAACUUCGUGCCAGCAGCCGCCGUAA
rnacentral:rRNA from 1 species